rnacentral:tRNA from 1 species
GGAUCGUGGAUCAGUGGCAGAGCACUUGCCUAGCAUGUGUGAGGCACUGGGUUCGAUUCUCAGCACCA